CCUUUCAGGGCUUUUUGAUGCACUGUGAUGCCUUGGCUGCUCCCUAACACCUUUCUCCUCCAGCCGCGUCCAUUCCUGGCUCUCAAUCUCCCAAUCUGCAGUUGGCUGAGCCACCACACGUGGGAGCGGUCGUUGGGAGCCGGCUGUUGGAGGCGCAGCAGACCUCGGUGGCAGCCGUUGCUGUCCUGGCAGCAGUGAGGCGGAAGCUGAGGCACGACGGGAGCGAGUGCUGAGGGCAGCUCUGCCGGAGCAGCACGGUGUUUCAGAAGAGAGAAAAGCACGGCGGGCAUCAACUGGAUUUCUGUGGCUGGUAAAGCUGUGCCGAGAACUGGGCUGACUGCUGCCCCUGGCAAUGUGUGCAAAGUCUGCAGAGGCAGAGGAAUGACUUUUCUCUCCAAAGUUGAGCUUGUCUAAGCACGGGAAGGUUGGAGAGGCUUUUUGCGAACCGAAGAUGGAGGGAGGAAAAGCAAGUGAAAGGCACGCUGUGCACAGCCAGCACACAGCACCUGCACCAUUGCCCUGCACAAAGGAGGAGCAGCUCAGCAAGCUUGGCCUGGGCCAUGGAAGGGAGCGUGCAAACGUCUGGAGCAGCCCCAGAUGGGCUGGUUCUGCAGGUUGCUGUCUGCUGCUGUUUUCUCACAUCCUGUUGCUCGGGGGUGGAUUUGUUCAUGUUCAGAGCUAGCAGGAAGCUCGCAAAGCCCUUUGUUUCAGCUGUCCCAAGGCUUUGAUCCCUGGCUGCUGGGAUGGGGCGUUUGAGGAGUGAUGCCUGUGCUGUUGUCCAGCCAAGCUUUGGGGAAGGGCAGGUGGUGAACCUCACGAGCCAAAGCCUGCAGAUGGGGUUUGCGGAGAAAGAGGUCCUGCAGGCCUUGUGUGGCAGCCACGGAGCUGGAGCGAGGCUGCGUCAGUGUAAAAGCCCAGCAAUGCACAGAGGUGUGAAGGUGAGCUGUGGGCUCGAGUAUCACAAGAGGGGGUGUGCAUGGUCAGGGCUUGGAUGCUUCUGUGUGUUUGAAGUGACUGUGGGGUAGUUAGCACUGCUGGGUGAGCUUGAGUGUCUGGAACAAGUGUGACGUGUCUUCCAGUUGCACGCUGUGUUCUUCCUGUUGCGUUGAGCUCUUGAGCUCCAGCCCUAAGUGAGGAUGCAAGCGCUACCGUAGAAGGAACGGGUUGAGAUUGGAAGUGCAGUGCAAAGGGCUGGAGCCAGCAGGAGCUGGGAUGUGAUCAUCCCCCUGUACUCAGCUCUGGUGAGUCCUCACCUUGAGUGCUGUGUUCAGUUCUGGGUCCCUGAUUACAAGAAGGACACUGAAUCCCCGAGAUAUUGCCAGAGAAGAGCAGUGAAGCUGUGAAGAGUGUAGAGCACCAGUCUCAUGGGGAGCGGCUGGCUGAGAGAACUGGGAUUAUUUAGCCUGGAGAAGAGGAGGCUCAGGGUAGACCUCAUCCCUCUCUACAA